rnacentral:rRNA from 1 species
UGCCACAGCCAUAUCACCCUGUAGCCCAAGACUGGUUGCCCACUGAAGCUAAGCAGGGUUGAACCUGGUCAGUACCUGGAUGGGAGACCUCCUGGGAAAACUAGGUUGCUGCUGGAU